CUUGUACUGUGAAACUGCGAAUGGCUCAUUAAAUCAGUUAUCGUUUAUUUGAUAGUACCUUACUACAUGGAUACCUGUGGUAAUUCUAGAGCUAAUACAUGCUAAAAACCCCGACUUCAGGAAGGGGUGUAUUUAUUAGAUAAAAAACCAACGCCCUUCGGGGCUCCUUGGUGAAUCAUAAUAACUUAACGAAUCGCAUGGCCUUGCGCCGGCGAUGGUUCAUUCAAAUUUCUGCCCUAUCAACUUUCGAUGGUAGGAUAGUGGCCUACCAUGGUGGCAACGGGUAACGGGGAAUUAGGGUUCGAUUCCGGAGAGGGAGCCUGAGAAACGGCUACCACAUCCAAGGAAGGCAGCAGGCGCGCAAAUUACCCAAUCCCGAUACGGGGAGGUAGUGACAAUAAAUACUGAUACGGGGCUCUUUUGGGUCUCGUAAUUGGAAUGAGAACAAUUUAAAUCCCUUAACGAGGAACAAUUGGAGGGCAAGUCUGGUGCCAGCAGCCGCGGUAAUUCCAGCUCCAAUAGCGUAUAUUAAAGUUGUUGCAGUUAAAAAGCUCGUAGUUGAACCUUGGGCCUGGCUGGCCGGUCCGCCUCACCGCGAGUACUGGUCCGGCUGGGCCUUUCCUUCUGGGGAACCUCAUGGCCUUCACUGGCUGUGGGGGGAACCAGGACUUUUACUGUGAAAAAAUUAGAGUGUUCAAAGCAGGCCUUUGCUCGAAUACAUUAGCAUGGAAUAAUAGAAUAGGACGUGUGGUUCUAUUUUGUUGGUUUCUAGGACCGCCGUAAUGAUUAAUAGGGAUAGUCGGGGGCGUCAGUAUUCAGCUGUCAGAGGUGAAAUUCUUGGAUUUGCUGAAGACUAACUACUGCGAAAGCAUUCGCCAAGGAUGUUUUCAUUAAUCAGGGAACGAAAGUUAGGGGAUCGAAGACGAUCAGAUACCGUCGUAGUCUUAACCAUAAACUAUGCCGACUAGGGAUCGGACGGGAUUCUAUAAUGACCCGUUCGGCACCUUACGAGAAAUCAAAGUUUUU
rnacentral:rRNA from 1 species